CCUACGGGAGGCAGCAGUAGGGAAUAUUGCUCAAUGGGGGAAACCCUGAAGCAGCAACGCCGCGUGGAGGAUGAAGGUUUUCGGAUUGUAAACUCCUUUUUUUAGAGAAGAUAAUGACGGUAUCUAACGAAUAAGCACCGUCUAACUCCGUGCCAGCAGCCGCGGUAAUACGGAGGGUGCAAGCGUUACUCGGAAUCACUGGGCGUAAAGAGAGCGUAGGCGGGAUAUCAAGUCAGAUGUGAAAUCCUACGGCGUAACCAUAGAACUGCAAUUGAAACUGUUAGUCUAGAGUAUGGGUGAGGUAGGUGGAAUUCUUGGUGUAGGGGUAAAAUCCGUAGAGAUCAAGAGGAAUACUGAUUGCGAAGGCGACCUGCUAAAACAUAACUGACGCUGAUGCGCGAAAGCGUGGGGAGCAAACAGGAUUAGAUACCCGGGUAGUC
rnacentral:rRNA from 1 species